rnacentral:rRNA from 1 species
UACGUAGGUGGCAAGCGUUGUCCGGAUUUACUGGGCGUAAAGAGCGCGCAGGCGGUCGUUCAAGUCGCGUGUGAAAGCCCCCGGCUCAACUGGGGAGGGUCACGCGAUACUGAUCGACUCGAAGGCAGGAGAGGGUAGUGGAAUUCCCGGUGUAGUGGUGAAAUGCGUAGAUAUCGGGAGGAACACCAGUGGCGAAGGCGGCUUUCUGGCCUGUUCUUGACGCUGAGGCGCGAAAGCUAGGGGAGCAAACGGG